rnacentral:rRNA from 1 species
AGGGGGGGCUAUAAUGCAAGUCGAGCGGGUGGAUUAGAGCUUGCUCUUAUGAAGUUAGCGGCGGACGGGUGAGUAACACGUGGGUAACCUGCCCAUAAGACUGGGAUAACUCCGGGAAACCGGGGCUAAUACCGGAUAACAUUUUGAACCGCAUGGUUCGAAAUUGAAAGGCGGCUUCGGCUGUCACUUAUGGAUGGACCCGCGUCGCAUUAGCUAGUUGGUGAGGUAACGGCUCACCAAGGCAACGAUGCGUAGCCGACCUGAGAGGGUGAUCGGCCACACUGGGACUGAGACACGGCCCAGACUCCUACGGGAGGCAGCAGUAGGGAAUCUUCCGCAAUGGACGAAAGUCUGACGGAGCAACGCCGCGUGAGUGAUGAAGGCUUUCGGGUCGUAAAACUCUGUUGUUAGGGAAGAACAAGUGCUAGUUGAAUAAGCUGGCACCUUGACGGUACCUAACCAGAAAGCCACGGCUAACUACGUGCCAGCAGCCGCGGUAAUACGUAGGUGGCAAGCGUUAUCCGGAAUUAUUGGGCGUAAAGCGCGCGCAGGUGGUUUCUUAAGUCUGAUGUGAAAGCCCACGGCUCAACCGUGGAGGGUCAUUGGAAACUGGGAGACUUGAGUGCAGAAGAGGAAAGUGGAAUUCCAUGUGUAGCGGUGAAAUGCGUAGAGAUAUGGAGGAACACCAGUGGCGAAGGCGACUUUUCUGGUCUGUAACUGACACUGAGGCGCGAAAGCGUGGGGAGCAAACAGGGAUUAGAUACCCUGGUAGUCCACGCCGUAAACGAUGAGUGCUAAGUGUUAGGAGGGUUUUCCGCCUCUUUUAGUGCUGAAGUUUAACGUCAUUAAAGCACUUCCGCCUGGGGGAGUACCGGCCGCAAGGCUGAAACUCAAAGGAAAUUGACGGGGCCCGCACAAGCGUAGCAGCAUGUGGAUUACUCGAAAGCACGCGAGGAUCGUUACCAGUCUGACAUCUCUGAACACCUAAAAGAUAGGGCCUCUCAUCGGAGCAGACUGACAGUUGAGCAAUGAUGUUCGUCAGCUUCGAUGAUCG